rnacentral:tRNA from 1 species
UUGAAGAGAGUUUGAUAAUAAACAUUCAAUUUACACUUGAAAAUUCCUUCAUUAGGUCUUCAAU